rnacentral:tRNA from 1 species
GCUCCGAUAGGCUAUGUGGUUAAACCAGGGAGCUUAUAUCUCUCAAUGCACGGUUCGAGUCCGUGUCGGAGUA